rnacentral:rRNA from 1 species
ACUCCUACGGGAGGCAGCAGUGGGGAAUAUUGCACAAUGGGGGAAACCCUGAUGCAGCCAUGCCGCGUGUGUGAAGAAGGCCUUCGGGUUGUAAAGCACUUUCAGUAGGGAGGAAGGUAGUGUAGUUAAUAGCGGCAUCAUUUGACGUUAGCAACAGAAGAAGCACCGGCUAACUCCGUGCCAGCAGCCGCGGUAAUACGGAGGGUGCGAGCGUUAAUCGGAAUUACUGGGCGUAAAGCGCAUGCAGGUGGUUUGUUAAGUCAGAUGUGAAAGCCCGGGGCUCAACCUCGGAACUGCAUUUGAAACUGGCAGACUAGAGUACUGUAGAGGGGGGUAGAAUUUCAGGUGUAGCGGUGAAAUGCGUAGAGAUCUGAAGGAAUACCGGUGGCGAAGGCGGCCCCCUGGACAGAUACUGACACUCAGAUGCGAAAGCGUGGGGAGCAAACAGGAUUAGAUACCCUGGGAGCACAGAG